rnacentral:rRNA from 1 species
UNGAAUUUNAAUUNNGCGGCCGCGAAUUUCCCCUKYCUAACACAUGCAAGUCGAACGAAAGAUUGUAGUAAUUWCGGUCUUAGUGGCGAACGGGUGAGUAACCGCGUGGGUGACCUGCCCCGAAGUGUGGGAUACCAGUCCGAAAGGACUGCUAAUACUUGCAUAACAUCCAGGAGAUUAGAACCUGCUGGAUUAAAGGAUUUUUUCGCUUCGGGAGGGGCCUGCGUCCCAUCAGCUAGUUGGUAAGGUAAUGGCUUACCAAGGCGAUGACGGGUAGGGGACCUGAGAGGGUGACCCCCCACAAUGGAACUGAAACACGGUCCAUACACCUACGGGUGGCAGCAGUAGGGAAUAUUAGUAAUGGGCGAAAGCCUGAACUAGCAACGCCGCGUGUGCGAAGAAGGCCUUCGGGUUGUAAAGCACUUUUUGAGAGGAUGAGGAAGGACGGUACUCUCARAAUAAGUCUUCGGCUAACUACGUGCCAGCAGCCGCGGUAAUACAAGGGCGAANUUCGUUUAACCYKCANGACUAGUCCYUUWGNR